rnacentral:tmRNA from 2 species
GGGGAUGAUCGGCCUAGACAAUAGAUCAACUCAAAAAGGUGCAGAGCCGAGAUUUCUCUUUUCUCGUUAAACAAGAGAAUAAACCUAGUUGCAAACAACUUCGUUGCAAAAGCAAAAUCAAUUGUUUCGCCUUUCUUUAAGGCAAACGAUUUUGCUCCAGUUUACGCCUAAAUAAUAUUUAGCCCUAAGCUGCAUUUGUCUUUUCUGACGUCCGAUACGGAAAGCAAGUGAUAUACAUUUCGGAAUAGAGAUCGUACCGCCUCGAUACGAUCUCAAAACAAAGAGGAUCGAAACGACAAGGCGUUGCCUGUUUAAUACUUGUCGUUUCUAAAACCCUUCGGGGAAACAAAACAGGAUAUGCUCUUGUAGACUCUUUUUUGAACAUCUUUUGCACGCGAGUUCGAUUCUCGCCAUCUCCACUC